CUUAGAGGGACAAGCGGCGCUCGCAGCCGCACGAAACAGAGCAAUAACAGGUCUGUGAUGCCCUUAGAUGUCCGGGGCCGCACGCGUGCUACACUGAAGUGGUCAUCGUGCAUACUGUUUCCUGCUCCGAAAGGAGUGGGUAACCGCUUGAACCCAUUUCGUGAUGGGGAUUGGGCAUUGUAAUUAUUGCCCAUGAACGAGGAAUUCCCAGUAAGCGUGAGUCAUUAGCUUGCGUUGAUUACGUCCCUGCCCUUUGUACACACCGCCCGUCGCUACUACCGAUUGAAUGAUUUAGUGAGGACUUCGGACUGGUCAAUCCAGACCAUUGGGAAACUAGUGGUCGGAUUGUGCUGGAAAGAUGUUCAAACUUGAUCAUUUAGAGGAAGUAAAAGUCGUAACAAGGUUUCCGUAGGUGAACCUGCGGAAGGAUCAUUA
rnacentral:ncRNA from 1 species